rnacentral:rRNA from 1 species
UAUUGUACAAUGGGGGAAACCCUGAUGCAGCGACGCCGCGUGAGUGAAGAAGUAUCUCGGUACGCAAAGCUCUAUCAGCAGGGAAGAAAAUGACGGUACCUGACUAAGAAGCCCCGGCUAACUACGCGCCAGCAGCCGCGGGAAUACGCAGGGGGCAAGCGUUAUCCGGAUUUACUGGGUGUAAAGGGAGCGUAGACGGCAGCGAAAGUCUGGAGUGAAAUGCCGGGGCCCAACCCCGGAACUGCUUUGGAAACUGUGCAGCUCGAGUGCAGGAGAGGUAAGCGGAAUUCCUAGUGUAGCGGUGAAAUGCGUAGAUAUUAGGAGGAACACCAGUGGCGAAGGCGGCUUACUGGACUGUAACUGACGUUGAGGCUCGAAAGCGUGGGGAGCAA